ACUUCAUUGGCUACGCCCGUAGAAGGCACAUGACCACAGCAGUGGACGGGGGUUCGAUUCCCCCCAUCUCCACCA
rnacentral:tRNA from 1 species